GCCAGGCGUGGUGGUGCACGCCUGUAAUCCCAGCUACUCGGGAGGCUGAAGCAGGAGAAUUGCUUGAACCCAGGAGGCAGAGGUUGCAGUGAGCCGAGAUCAUGCCACUGCACUCCAGCCUGGGUGACAGAGUGAGACUCUGCCUCAA
rnacentral:SRP_RNA from 1 species